AUGGCUGUCGUCAGCUCGUGUCGUGAGAUGUUGGGUUAAGUCCCGCAACGAGCGCAACCCCUAUCCUCAGUUGCCAUCAUUAAGUUGGGCACUCUGUGGAGACUGCCGGUGUUAAACCGGAGGAAGGUGGGGAUGACGUCAAGUCCUCAUGGCCCUUAUGACCAGGGCUACACACGUGCUACAAUGGCCGGUACAAAGAGUUGCGAUACCGCGAGGUGGAGCCAAUCUCAUAAAGCCGGUCUCAGUUCGGAUUGGAGUCUGCAACUCGACUCCAUGAAGUUGGAGUCGCUAGUAAUCGCGGAUCAGCACGCCGCGGUGAAUACGUUCCCGGGCCUUGUACACACCGCCCGUCACACCACGGGAGUCGAUUGGUCCCGAAGUGCGUGAGCUAACCCCUUGUGGGAGGCAGCGUCCUAAGGAAUGGUCGGUGACUGGGGUGAAGUCGUAACAAGGUAGCCGUAGGGGAACCUGCGGCUGGAUCACCUCCUUUCUAAGGAGCUAGAAGGCUAGACCUUCCAAGCUUACCUAGGUCAAACCAAAUCGCUUUAAUAUCACUGCUAUUCGGUUUUGAGAGACCAGAGUCUUCUCUGGUUUUUUGCUCUUUAUAACUUUAGUGUGUCGUGAAAGCGAAACAUGAUUUGAUGGGCUUGUAGCUCAGUUGGCUAGAGCACACGACUGAUAAUCGUGAGGUCGCUGGUUCGAGUCCAGCCAGGCCCACCAACCUUUAUUGGGGGUGUAGCUCAGCUGGGAGAGCACCUGCCUUGCACGCAGGGGGUCAUCGGUUCGAACCCGUUCACCUCCACCAAUAAUUUGAGAGGGCUGUCUUUAUGAUGGCCUGAUCAUUUAGUUCUUUGACAAUUGUAUAGUGGAUAGUUUAGGUGGUUAAAGCAUACUCAGUGCGUAUGUUUUAACUUGAAUUGUAUGAAUUUGUAGAUUGAUUUCGAUUUUUUAUGGCCAAGCUACUAAGGGCGUACGGUGGAUGCCUAGGCAGAGAGAGGCGAUGAAGGACGCGGUAAACUGCGAUAAGCUUCGGGGAGUCGUUAAACAGGCUUUGAUCCGGAGAUUUCCGAAUGGGGAAACCCGG
rnacentral:sRNA from 1 species